UGCGGUUCUACCGGUUCCCUGGAAAGCCGUACGAAGUGGAGCGACGGAACCGCUGGAUACGUGCCGUGCGACGCGUGAAUCCUGACGGCACGCCGUGGCUGCCGACGGCGAACACGAGGAUAUGCAGCCGGCACUUCGUGGGAAACGAGAAAAACGAUGCCAUGAGUCACCCUGCAUACGUGCCUACGAUGUUUCCGGCAGCUUACAACCGGCCGCUUCCAGCUGACCCCUCAACUGGGCUUGAGAGGUUUGGUAGAUGGAAGAAAAGGGGACAAGAGACCUCAUCACACCAUCAGCAACAAAUUAGCGAGGCGCCAAGCUUUGGCACUGCAGCUGGCAUUGCUUCACAAGUGUCUGGGCAGAAUGUGG
rnacentral:lncRNA from 1 species